GAUGCAAUGGCCUAAUGGUUAGCACGGUGGACUCUGAAUCGAGCGGUCCAGGUUCGAGUGCUGGCUGGGUCA